rnacentral:rRNA from 1 species
AGGGUUUGAUUAUGGCUCAGGAUGAACGCUGGCGGCAUGCCUAAUACAUGCAAGUCGAACGGACUACACCAUGAACUUGAAGUGCUUGCACGGAUUGGAAUUGGAUUUUGUAGUCAGUGGCGGACGGGUGAGUAACACGUGGGUUACCUGCCACACAGUAUGGAAUAACUAUUGGAAACGAUAGCUAAUACCGUAUAUGACCUUCGGGUUGAAAGGAGCGUUUGCUUCGCUGUGUGAUGGGCCUGCGGCGCAUUAGCUAGUUGGUACGGUAAAGGCGUACCAAGGCGACGAUGCGUAGCCGGAGUGAGAGCUCGAUCGGCCACAUUGGGACUGAGACACGGCCCAAACUUCUACGGGAGGCAGCAGUAGGGAAUUUUCCGCAAUGGACGAAAGUCUGACGGAGCAAUGCCGCGUGAGUGAUGAAGGUUUUCGAAUCGUAAAGCUCUGUUGUAAGGGAAGAAUAGCACUGAUAGGAAAUGAUCAGUGUCUGACGGUACCUUACCAGAAAGCCACGGCUAACUACGUGCCAGCAGCCGCGGUAAU